AGAAAAAGAAGGCAGGGCGAGAAAUGGCUGUCCACACUCUUUACAAGAAAUGAAUAUGCAUUGAUGGAAUAUCAUUUACUUUGAUUUAGUUCAGACUCCUGAUAAAAGUUCUUUCCAGAUGUAAAGUGAAUUGAUGAAAUCUUGAAAAAGUGUUGUGAGGGUUGGUGUUCUCCAGAUAUAAAAAAAUGAGGAUUGUAUUAAAGAGUUUUAAAAUCUAUAAUCAUAUAUGAAAAAGCAGCUGUCAGAUGAAUGAACUUUCCACAUGUAAACCGUCACAAAUGAUGCCUGUUUGUAUUUAAAAAAAAUAGACAGACAUAACCAAAGGUCUGCUCAGCUUGGUCACUUAACAAAUAUUUUGUUAGAAAGUCAGCAAUAUCAUCGGCUUGUAUACAGUUAUCAUUUUUCUUGUACAAACAAUAUGGAAAUAAAAUUUGUUUAUAAAUUUGAAAGGUU